GUGGGGAAUCUUCCGCAAUGGACGAAAGUCUGACGGAGCAACGCCGCGUGAGUGAUGAAGGUCUUCGGAUUGUAAAGCUCUGUUAAUCGGGACGAAAGAGCCUAGUGUGAAUAAUGCUAGGAAGUGACGGUACCGGAAUAGAAAGCCACGGCUAACUACGUGCCAGCAGCCGCGGUAAUACGUAGGUGGCAAGCGUUGUCCGGAAUUAUUGGGCGUAAAGCGCGCGCAGGCGGAUCUGCCAGUCUGUCUUAAAAGUUCGGGGCUUAACCCCGUGAUGGGAUGGAAACUACAGAUCUAGAAUAUCGGAGAGGAAAGUGGAAUUCCUAGUGUAGCGGUGAAAUGCGUAGAUAUUAGGAAGAACACCAGUGGCGAAGGCGACUUUCUGGACGAAAACUGACGCUGAGGCGCGAAAGCCAGGGGAGCGAACGGGAUUAGAUACCCUGGUAGUCC
rnacentral:rRNA from 1 species